rnacentral:lncRNA from 1 species
AGUCUGAGGCUGAGCUGGAACCUGCAGCAAGGCUUUGACGGUGAUUUGAACUAUGGAACACAUGCGCUAGAGGUUUUAGAAGAGAGGACUUUUAGUAUGUUAUCUGAAGAUUCUUAGGAUGUUUUGACUCUUCUUAUGGGACUUAAUUCUGUAAAGUAUAAGUGAGAAGCAGGCCUGUCAUAAUGGAUAUACUUCUCCCUCAAUGCUCUGCAUGGCUCCUACAAAGAAACAAAUGGAUCUCAGACUGCAAAUCAAAAACUACUCAUCUCUCUGACACAUGCAAGCAAGCCAGUGAGAUCCUGCCUCAAAUGACAUGUCUUUGGCUUUGUUGUUGUUGUUGUUGUUAGGUUAACUACUUUGAUAGGUGCAAAUUUUGGACAACUUUUGAGCAACACUAUUUUCUCUUAUCUUGACAUAUUCAAUCAUACAUUUUCUAACAUUUUCCUUUUUAUAUUUAGGUUGAUUUUAAAAAAAAAAAACUAUUAAAUUAAAUUUACUUUUAGUGAGUGAAUAUUUAAUCCACUACCCUUGCAUUGCUAAGAAAAAAGAAAGAAGAAGAGAUGAAAUAAUGGUCUCAUUCAAGUAUGCUCAAGAAAAUGUUACUUAAUUAAAUUUAAAAAGAAGAGUCCUUAAACUUAGAAACAAAUCCUAGAAAGGGGGAGUCCCUAAUACUAUAAGGAAAAAGUUUACAUAACACUAUAUUAUCAAAGAAGAAACAGGUGUGAAGACUCUUUGUGUAUACAAAGAGCCUAUUAGCCAGUAAAAUAUAAAGCUAGUUGUGUCUCAGUUUCAGUAAAAAAAAACAAAGUUAAGGUUGAUUGUAUAUUCAACUAAAAUAGCAACAAACAUUCAAAUGGAGGUUGUGUUCCUGAUAACAAGAAUGUAGAACAAAUACUUUAGUUUAUAUUGUAUUUAUUAAAAAAAAUAAAUGGUUUAAACCUACAA